AUGAGGCACACACUGGUCCAGCGCUACUCGGUGUCUCCUAGAGACAAGUGUUCAAAAAAAGCAAGCCGAUUUCCCAGGAUCUUGACACAUCUAAUUGAGAUUUCAUGGCCUAUUUUCCUCCAGAUUCGAAGCCUUGCUCCGUCCUGCCGCGAGAAGCAUCUCCCCCAGGGUCCAGAUGAAAGAAAUUGUUUUCAAGUUUUAUUUGGUUUUUGUUGCUUUAAGUCCCUUGCUCCUCUACGCUGACAUCAUCCAGUGUUGCAUUACGCAGCCCUGACCGCCUCAGUGGCAGCACCGGCUUCCCAGCAGGACCCGUGCUGGAUGGCCUCUGAUCAAUGACAUCAUGCACGCGCAUCAAACCCGAGCACCAUGAGGGAAUAUGUGAAAGUCAACCCGGCCCCACCCCUCUGAGGCUUUUAUUUCUUCUGGAUUAAUGCAGGUGACAUGACAGCAAAGCAUUAGCGUCAGCAGAGCAAAGACAUUAGGGGAUCUUGUUCUUUGGGGCUUGAGAUUUAAUGUUCUGUUUGUUCUUUUUAUGCAUAACAGCACUGCUUGCAUAUGAAGUAUCAAAGGCUUCACAGUGAUACUUUGACUGAACAGUCUGGUAUCUAAGAAGUCAAGAGUGAAAAAAGGAAGAUCAUUUCUCUGUUCUUAGAGUACAGUAGAGAAUGCUGCUGCUGCUGCUGCUGAGGUACAGUAUAUGUGGUCCAGCAGCCCAACACAUCAGAUACUUUGGCAUCCAUUUGACCUUGACUGGCAGGAAACCAGUAACAAUAACAACGGGUUUGAGCUGGUAUGAGUUUCUCUGUUGUUCCACCUCUCAGCACUGCAGUAUAUUUUUCUAAUGGUCGUCCUCCCAGGUAACAGGCAUCACCAGCAGGCCUCGACCGAGGGAGCGGCUUUGGGGGAUGAGGAUGCAGUUUGCUUCGAGAGGUCCGUGUUUAUGUGUGUUGGCAGUUGAACACAUAAUGAUAAGCGGUGGGAAAUGGGAUUUUAAGAAAGCGGAGCCAUCAUUUACACAGUCACAGCUCACAUACGUGUUUUCCCUCUGUAAUGAAGUCAGACAGACAGGUCUUUUCCUUUAGUAAAGCACUAGUUGGGUGCGUUUGGUUUAUGUAUUCUGUUUUGCUGUGAAUAGCGUAAACUAGCUGUUUUAUCCUCUUUUUGGCCGUUCCUUCCUUAUACAGAACCAGACGAUGACAUUUGGCUGCUAUCACUCAUUCUGCCCAAAACAAAUGCAGAAGGCAAAGCCGAUUUAAUCAGAUGUGACUGUGAUUGUUUUCAAUAAAGACACAAAACACCAGUUUUUCUUUCCA
rnacentral:lncRNA from 1 species